AUCAUUGGACUAUACACACGCAGAAUACAUCAAUAUGGACGUGUACAAUUUCUUCCAUUUUUUGAAACUUUAAAAUGUGAUUUUGGUUAUUUUUUCAAAAAAGGUAUCCAUGGAGUUCGUCCUCCAAAACGCCAUAUUCCCUGUUGUGUUGUUUCUGCAACCCAACAUAUUGGCUUGUACUCUUUCUGUAUUCAUUGCACAGAAUUAAUCAAAAUACAAGCCUUUUAUUAUUUAUUUUUUGCCAUAAUUUCUGAAUAGUUUACAAUUUUUUUCUUUUUUUACUUUCUGAAAUCCAAAUACCUUUGUUUCCUUGUUAAACUAUUGGCUUCUAAAUUUCUCAUCGGGCCACUUAAACAAGAAAGAUGUCAUUUUAUCUCAUUGAAAAAUAUCAAGAAACAUGUCUCGGCCUAUAUCCUUAACAGAAACUACCGUGCACAAAUUUAAGGGACACAAAUUAUCUUACAGUGGUCAAACAAACAUGUUUAUUUCCCCACAAUAACAAAAUGUCUAUUAUGUGAAUUGAUGAAUCAUACUAAACAAAGAUGUGUGUUUCUUAACAAAAAAAAUCCCUAUGAAAGAUAUAUGUGGAAAGACACACAAAUAAUAAUUUCAUGCAUCAUAUAUAAUCAUAGCAAAGAAAAAAGGAUAACAAACAUGACAUCGAUGUUGAUGACACUAAAUUUCCAGCUACCCUAAUUUUAAAAGACAACUAGUUAGUCUUGGUUUCAUGCUACACAUCGCAAGAUCGAUCGGGAUCAUUAUUAGUGGUAGAAAAUUAGUAUGAUAAUCUAACAAUAAAACAAUAAAUGAUGAAUAAAUAAAUAGAUGUUUUUGUUAAUAAAUUAAUAGAUGCUACAGGCAAAAGUACAACAUAACAAAAACUGGCCCAGAAAAGGGUAAGGCAAUGCAUGAUACGGACGGGCUUUUAGUCAUGCGAACGUUUAGUCCUAUGACAAGGGCCAUUACCUCUGUCGUAGAGAGUCGAGCUACGAAAGUGUUGCACAUCCAUCCAACAUAUUAACCACUCUCCCUAAAAGAAAACAUGUUAACCACUCGAUCCAUACUUGGUUUUUGGAAUAAGAGUAAUGACUUACUCAAAUUAAAACUUGAAAACCAUCUCACUAUGAAAUACUCCCUCCAUUUAGUAUUAAAGAUGUUUUGGGUACUUCAAGAUGGACUACAUACAGAUUGCAAUGAAAGAACAAACACAUUAAAACUUGUCUACAUACAUCCAAUUUAGAAGAAAAAAGUUAGAACAUGAUAUAAUAGUGAGCGAGGAGUAGCAAAUAUAGCAGACUUGGAUCCGAAAUUAAUCAAAGCUAGGUAGCAUACAUAUUCUUUCAAAAAAAACAUGUUGAUAACAUUAAAAAAUGAUUUGCUAGUGCAAACAUGCCUUCAUAAUUAUUAACUUACAAUGAUUUGCUAUCGCCAGCAGGAAACAUUCUCAACCUAGAUUAGAAACAAAAUGUACUUAGAUCUACACGAGUAAACAAAGUCUGAUGCAACAUAUAUUUGUAAAAAUCAUGUUGAUGAGAUAAAAGGAUCUAAAUUGUAGAUAUACCUUAAAAUCUAUUACCUUUUGUUGACUUCAUCUAGAUCCACCUUCCUCACCAUCGAUGCAAGUUGAGGAAGUCAUUGACAAACGCGC
rnacentral:lncRNA from 1 species